AGAUUGAACGCUGGCGGCAUGCCUAACACAUGCAAGUCGAACGGGAGUAGCAAUACUCUAGUGGCGGACGGGUGAGGAAUACGUAGGAAUUUGCCCUUAAGUGGGGGAUAACCCGGGAAACCCGGAUUAAUACCGCAUGACCUCGAAAGAGCAAAGUGGGGGAUCGCAAGACCUCACGCUUUUGGAGAAGCCUACGUCGGAUUAGCUAGUUGGUGAGGUAUGGCUCACCAAGGCGACGAUCCGUAACUGGUCUGAGAGGAUGAUCAGUCACACCGGAACUGAGACACGGUCCGGACUCCUACGGGAGCAGCAGUGGGAAUAUUGGACAAU
rnacentral:rRNA from 1 species